rnacentral:lncRNA from 1 species
CCUGUAGUCCCAGCUACUCAGGAGGAUGAAGCAGGAGAAUCGCUUGAACCUGGGAGGCAUAGGCUGCAGUGAGCCAAGAUUGCGCCACUGUACUUCAGCCUCAGCAACAGAGCGAGACUCUUCCUCAAAAAAAAAAAAAAAAAAAAGAAAUUCAUAAGAAAUAUUUAUCUAUAUUUUCUUUGUUGUUAAUGUCCUUAAUUGUUCAUGAAUACAUGGAUCUUUUCCCGAUUUCUAGGACCCAGUGAAUGCUAAAGCUAUGCUGUCAAGAAUGAACUCUGUUGACACAAUGGAUUCAUGUUAUAUGCCCAUUUAAGACAUGCAAAUUCUACUAUAGCUUGACAAGAAAUAAGAAUUUACAUAUAGAAAAUGACUAUGCCUUUCAUGUCACCCAGUGAGCGUGUGCUCUGCUAUGAGAAUGAGAUGGGUGAUGUAAAGCUGUAAUCUCAGCCUCAGUUUCUGGAGUAUUAUUUAACCAGCCAGCUAAUGGACUGGCCAACCAACUGACCUUUAAAUACUGACCCUUGGUUGGGCGAGGUGGUUCACUCCUGUAAUCCCAGCACUUUGGGAGGCUGAGGUGGGUGGAUCACCUGAUGUCGGGAGUUUGAGACCAGCCUGACCAAUAUGGAGAAACCCCGUAUCUACUAAAAAUACAAAAUUAGCCAAGUGUGGUGGCAUAUGCCUGUAAUCCCAGCUACUUGGGAGACAGAGGCAGGAGAAUCACUUGAACCUGGGAGGCAGAGGUUGCGGUGAGCUGAGAUCACGCCAUUGCACCCCAGCCUGAGCAACAAGAGAGAACUCCAUCUCAAAAAAAAAAAAAAAAAAAAAAAUCAUUAGUUUUCACCAGUUUGGCCAAAAAAUUCCUGGAUGGGUUUAUCUUUGUGUUUGCCCUGCUUGCAGUUUGCAAAUUUUUUGGAUCUGUUGAUGUAUUUUUAUCAGUUUUAGAAUAGGUUUUAGCUAUUAUCUCUUCAAGUAUUUCCUCUGUUUCAUUCUAAUCUCUUUCUGGGACCUGAAUUACACAUAUGUUAGAUGAUAGAGAUCAGUAUGUUAUUUCAGUCAUAAACAAAGGUUACCUUGGGACCAGUUCUUUGGAGGUGAAGGUGUGGAAAUGAAUGCAGAAGUUAGACAGGGUUUCUUUGGUCUGCGUUUCUCUGUCUAGAUUUCCAUAUGGCUCCUAGAGUGUGUUACCAUUCUAACAUCCUCAAAGAUUGCUCUCUGACAUGAAGCAAUUUGGGCCAGAACGUGAAAAAAAUCAUUGUAGAGGAAAAUCUGGUAUUUAAUUUAAUUUUUAUUUUUGCAAGUUC